GUAGCUCAGUGGCAGAGCACUUGCCUGGCAUGCAGAGAGUCCUGGGUUCAACCCCAGC
rnacentral:tRNA from 1 species